AUCCGGUGGAGAGAUCACUAGCGAGAAUGAUGACAUGAGUAGCGACAAAGAGUGUGAGAGACACUCUCGCCGAAAGUCCAAGGGUUCCUGCUUAAAGCUAAUCUGAGCAGGGUAAGCCGGCCCCUAAGGCGAGGCCGAAAGGCGUAGUCGAUGGGAACCAGGUCAAUAUUCCUGGGCCAUGUGGUGGUGACGGAUCGCAAAGGUUGUCAGUCCUUAUCGGAUUGAACUGGCAGCUCAGCGGUCCCUGGAAAUAGCCCCACUUUUAGACCGUACCCUAAACCGACACAGGUGGACUGGUAGAGAAUACCAAGGCGCUUGAGAGAACAACGUUGAAGGAACUCGGCAAAAUACCUCCGUAAGUUCGCGAGAAGGAGGCCCAGUUUCUACGCAAGUAUUGGCUGGGGGCACAAACCAGGGGGUGGCGACUGUUUACUAAAAACACAGGGCUCUGCGAAGUCGUAAGACGACGUAUAGGGUCUGACGCCUGCCCGGUGCCUGAAGGUUAAAAGGAGGGGUGAGAGCUCUGAAUUGAAGCCCAGGUAAACGGCGGCCGUAACUAUAACGGUCCUAAGGUAGCGAAAUUCCUUGUCGGGUAAGUUCCGACCUGCACGAAUGGCGUAACGACUUCCCCGCUGUCUCCAACGUUGACUCAGCGAAAUUGAAUUGCCUGUCAAGAUGCAGGCUCCCCGCGGUUAGACGGAAAGACCCCGUGCACCUUUACUACAGCUUCACACUGGCAUCAGGCCAUGCAUGUGCAGGAUAGGUGGUAGGCUUUGAAACAGAGACGCCAGUCUCUGCGGAGCCUCCCUUGAGAUACCACCCUUGCAUUGCUUGAUGUCUAACCGCGGACCGUUAUCCGGUUCCGGGACCCUGUGUGGCGGGUAGUUUGACUGGGGCGGUCGCCUCCUAAAGCGUAACGGAGGCGCGCGAAGGUUGGCUCAGAGCGGUCGGAAAUCGCUCGUUGAGUGCAAUGGCAUAAGCCAGCCUGACUGCAAGACUGACAAGUCGAGCAGAGUCGAAAGACGGCCAUAGUGAUCCGGUGGUCCCAAGUGGGAGGGCCAUCGCUCAACGGAUAAAAGGUACGCCGGGGAUAACAGGCUGAUACUGCCCAAGAGUCCAUAUCGACGGCAGUGUUUGGCACCUCGAUGUCGGCUCAUCUCAUCCUGGGGCUGGAGCAGGUCCCAAGGGUAUGGCUGUUCGCCAUUUAAAGAGGUACGUGAGCUGGGUUUAGAACGUCGUGAGACAGUUCGGUCCCUAUCUGCCGUGGGUGUAGGAUACUUGAGAGGAGUUGCCCCUAGUACGAGAGGACCGGGGUGAACGAACCACUGGUGGACCAGUUGUCGUGCCAACGGCAGUGCUGGGUAGCUAUGUUCGGACAGGAUAACCGCUGAAGGCAUCUAAGCGGGAAGCCCCCCUCAAAACAAGGUAUCCCUGAGGGCCGUGGAAGACCACCACGUCGAUAGGCCGGAGGUGUAAGUGCAGCAAUGCAUUCAGCUGACCGGUACUAAUGGCCCGAUAGGCUUGAUCCG
rnacentral:rRNA from 1 species